UCCGUAGGUGAACCUGCGGAAGGAUCAUUACCGAGUGCGGGCUGCCUCCGGGCGCCCAACCUCCCACCCGUGACUACCUAACACUGUUGCUUCGGCGGGGAGCCCUCUCGGGGGCGAGCCGCCGGGGACUACUGAACUUCAUGCCUGAGAGUGAUGCAGUCUGAGUCUGAAUAUAAAAUCAGUCAAAACUUUCAACAAUGGAUCUCUUGGUUCCGGCAUCGAUGAAGAACGCAGCGAACUGCGAUAAGUAAUGUGAAUUGCAGAAUUCAGUGAAUCAUCGAGUCUUUGAACGCACAUUGGGCCCCCUGGCAUUCCGGGGGGCAUGCCUGUCCGAGCGUCAUUGCUGCCCAUCAAGCCCGGCUUGUGUGUUGGGUCGUCGUCCCCCCCGGGGGACGGGCCCAAAAGGCAGCGGCGGCACCGUGUCCGGUCCUCGAGCGUAUGGGGCUUUGUCACCCGCUCGAUUAGGGCCGGCCGGGCGCCAGCCGACGUCUCCAACCAUUUUCUUCAGGUUGACCUCGGAUCAGGUAGGGAUACCCGCUGAACUUAAGCAUAUCAAUAAGCGGAGGA
rnacentral:rRNA from 1 species